rnacentral:rRNA from 1 species
UGCGUAACGCGUAUGCAACCUACCAUCAACAGGGGGAUAACACUGAGAAAUUGGUACUAAUACCCCAUAAUAUCUCAUGCGGCAUCGCAUGGGGUUGAAAACUCCGGUGGUUGAUGAUGGGCAUGCGUUGUAUUAGCUGGUUGGUGAGGUAACGGCUCACCAAGGCGACGAUACAUAGGGGGACUGAGAGGUUAACCCCCCACAUUGGUACUGAGACACGGACCAAACUCCUACGGGAGGCAGCAG